rnacentral:rRNA from 1 species
CAGGUUUACCUGUGUGACUGCGUACCUUUUGUAUAAUGGGUCAGCGACUUAUAUUCUGUAGCAAGGUUAACCGUAUAGGGGAGCCGCAGGGAAACCGAGUCUUAAUUGGGCGUUAAGUUGCAGGGUAUAGACCCGAAACCCGGUGAUCUAGCCAUGGGCAGGUUGAAGGUUGGGUAACACUAACUGGAGGACCGAACCGACUAAUGUUGAAAAAUUAGCGGAUGACCUGUGGCUGGGGGUGAAAGGCCAAUCAAACCGGGAGAUAGCUGGUUCUCCCCGAAAGCUAUUUAGGUAGCGCCUCGUGAAUUCAUCUCCGGGGGUAGAGCACUGUUUCGGCUAGGGGGCCAUCCCGGCUUACCAACCCGAUGCAAACUGCGAAUACCGGAGAAUGUUAUCACGGGAGACACACGGCGGGUGCUAACGUCCGUCGUGAAGAGGGAAACAACCCAGACCGCCAGCUAAGGUCCCAAAGUCAUGGUUAAGUGGGAAACGAUGUGGGAAGGCCCAGACAGCCAGGAUGUUGGCUUAGAAGCAGCCAUCAUUUAAAGAAAGCGUAAUAGCUCACUGGUCGAGUCGGCCUGCGCGGAAGAUGUAACGGGGCUAAACCAUGCACCGAAGCUGCGGCAGCGACGCUGAUGCGUUGUUGGGUAGGGGAGCGUUCUGUAAGCCUGCGAAGGUGGCCUGUGAGGGUUGCUGGAGGUAUCAGAAGUGCGAAUGCUGACAUAAGUAACGAUAAAGCGGGUGAAAAGCCCGCUCGCCGGAAGACCAAGGGUUCCUGUCCAACGUUAAUCGGGGCAGGGUGAGUCGACCCCUAAGGCGAGGCCGAAAGGCGUAGUCGAUGGGAAACGGGUUAAUAUUCCCGUACUUGGUGUUACUGCGAAGGGGGGACGGAGAAGGCUAUGUUGGCCGGGCGACGGUUGUCCCGGUUUAAGCGUGUAGGUGUGUGUUCCAGGUAAAUCCGGUUCACUUUAACACUGAGGCGUGACGACGAGGCACUACGGUGCUGAAGCAACAAAUGCCCUGCUUCCAGGAAAAGCCUCUAAGCAUCAGGUAACAUCAAAUCGUACCCCAAACCGACACAGGUGGUCAGGUAGAGAAUACCAAGGCGCUUGAGAGAACUCGGGUGAAGGAACUAGGCAAAAUGGUGCCGUAACUUCGGGAGAAGGCACGCUGACACGUAGGUGAAGUGAUUUACUCAUGGAGCUGAAGUCAGUCGAAGAUACCAGCUGGCUGCAACUGUUUAUUAAAAACACAGCACUGUGCAAACACGAAAGUGGACGUAUACGGUGUGACGCCUGCCCGGUGCCGGAAGGUUAAUUGAUGGGGUCAGCGCAAGCGAAGCUCCUGAUCGAAGCCCCGGUAAACGGCGGCCGUAACUAUAACGGUCCUAAGGUAGCGAAAUUCCUUGUCGGGUAAGUUCCGACCUGCACGAAUGGCGUAAUGAUGGCCAGGCUGUCUCCACCCGAGACUCAGUGAAAUUGAACUCGCUGUGAAGAUGCAGUGUACCCGCGGCAAGACGGAAAGACCCCGUGAACCUUUACUAUAGCUUGACACUGAACAUUGAGCCUUGAUGUGUAGGAUAGGUGGGAGGCUUUGAAGUGUGGACGCCAGUCUGCAUGGAGCCGACCUUGAAAUACCACCCUUUAAUGUUUGAUGUUCUAACGUGGACCCGUUACCCGGGUUGCGGACAGUGUCUGGUGGGUAGUUUGACUGGGGCGGUCUCCUCCUAAAGAGUAACGGAGGAGCACGAAGGUUGGCUAAUCCUGGUCGGACAUCAGGAGGUUAGUGCAAUGGCAUAAGCCAGCUUGACUGCGAGCGUGACGGCGCGAGCAGGUGCGAAAGCAGGUCAUAGUGAUCCGGUGGUUCUGAAUGGAAGGGCCAUCGCUCAACGGAUAAAAGGUACUCCGGGGAUAACAGGCUGAUACCGCCCAAGAGUUCAUAUCGACGGCGGUGUUUGGCACCUCGAUGUCGGCUCAUCACAUCCUGGGGCUGAAGUAGGUCCCAAGGGUAUGGCUGUUCGCCAUUUAAAGUGGUACGCGAGCUGGGUUUAGAACGUCGUGAGACAGUUCGGUCCCUA